AAGCCUCGAGUCUGUAAAAAACCAGAGCUGUUCAGCCUCGCAAGAACAUCAUUCGCCCCCAUUCUUGGCUAACCGAUAAAAAACCUGGUAAUUAAAAACUCACAAAUUAUAAUCAUAAUAGCAAAAUUCAACACAAGCCCUUCUCUAUAUGACACAUUAAUCAUCUACAAACAACAGAUCCCCUACUAUAUAUCAAUUACACUAACAAUUCAAUUCCGCAAACACCUGCGAAAGACAGGACUAGAAUACAACUUAAACAAAGCAAGUUCACAGUCAAUGCAUAGCUAAAAACACUUAUAUGAUCAUGAUCUAAAGCAAGUUCAUAGUCAAAAAAAAAAAAUUAAAAAAAAAUAAAUAAAUGGUCUGAAGCAAUUUUAUAGUCAAUGCAUCAGCAACAUCAUAAAAUUAACAGGUCUACAUCAUACAAGAGCUUGAACUUGAACAUGAAAACUUAAAUGAACAGGAUUGGAAGCAAUUUUAAAGUCAAUGCAUCACCGACGGUUAAGUGAGUUGUCAAUGAAAACAAAAACUCACAGGGGAUGUUCUUGUGUGUGGGCAAAUGUAAUGAGCAAGUGUUUGAUUAUUGAAGUGAAUGAAUAAUAAUGAGGAAAUUAAUAUUUAUAGAGAGAGAGUACCUGAGAGAGAGAGAGAGAGAGAGAGAGAGAGAGAGAGAGAGAGAGAGAUGAUUGAAGAAGUGAAAGAGAAAUAAAGUUUAAAUUAAGAGAGAGGGAGAGAGGGGGAGAGAGAGAGAGAGAGAGAGAGAGAGAGAGAGGGGAUGAGGAUGAAAACGCAUACAAUUCCAAGUUUACAAGUAAGCGUAAAUAGAGAGUGAA
rnacentral:lncRNA from 1 species